CCAGAUCGCCUACCGGGACCGGCUGAAAGACAUCCGUGCCACCCUAGAAGUUUCUCCCUUCUUCAAAUGCCAUGAGGUCAUCGGCAGCUCACUCCUUUUCAUCCAUGACCAGAAGGAGCAGGCCAAGGUGUGGAUGAUUGACUUCGGAAAAACCACGCCCCUGCCCGAGGGCCAGACCCUGCAGCACAACGUGCCUUGGCAGGAGGGGAACCGGGAGGACGGCUACCUCUCGGGCCUGAACAAUCUCAUCGACAUCCUGACAGAAAUGUGCCAGGGCGCCCCGCUCGCCUGAGGGCCCCCUGUGCCUGCCUCGCCACACCCUCCCUUCCUCCCCCUGUGCUUCCUUUUUUCUCCUUCCUUUUCUCUUCGUGUCUAGGGAAGUGCGAGCCCCAGAACUGACCCUCCUGAACUGCACUACAAGACACUUUGUAGAAACGAGAUGGAGAUUUCCAAGAGCAGAGGGGAGAUUUUCUGGUGACUUUCCUCAUGAAGGGCUUGAAGCUGGGGUCUCCACUUCUGUCUAUCCGUAGGAUCUCCGAGCAGAAGAGGAAUGCCCAGACCAGGGCUCAGCAGCCUAUAGGGCAGCUCUGUUGGGUUUAGGUCUGGAAGCAGGCUCAGGUGGCCACCGGGUGGGCUCCUAACCCAGCAGCCAGCUCCAGCCUCCGCUCGGGCUUCCUGUGGGGGCCUACUGCCCCCUGGUGGCCGGUGCGGUCAGUGAGCUGCCCAGCUCAGCACACAGGCUGGGGGGCCGCAGUGGGGGGGUUGUAAGAACCCUGGCUUCAGCAGGUGCCUGGCUGCAGGCUUCUGGUAGUUGGGGUACCAAGCCACUGGGAACUGCAUGUUGGCCUUUAGCAGUCCAGGGGCGCCCCCAGACGGUGGUGGCCUGCUAACACAAGGCUCCCACCCAUCUGGUAUUGAAACCCUCCAGCUUUGGGCCAGACCUGGGAGUUCGGAGAUGCUAGAGUUGACUGGCUGUGCUCUCUGACCUAGGCCUUUGCAGGAGGGGGCAGGCAGGAGCUGUGCUCUUCCCUCUGAUGCUCACCCUCUGAAUUCAGAGGACGCUCUGCACACCUGAGCUUCCAGGGAUGUCCCUCCAACCCCCCAGAGCCAUUUGUGCCUCCAGCCACCCGCCUUGCAGUGCCGAGGUUGGGGGCACCGGGUGGGGUGGGCCGGGGCAUAGCCAGCCCCGGAGAAAGAAGACGGAACCUACAGAGCACAGAUCCCAUACAUCCCUUCACCCCCCAACACCCCCACCUCCCUGGGCUUCUUUCAUGAGGUCAGGUCCCCAGAAGGUUUGGGGUGGGCUUCAGGGCAGCGCUAAGCAGGUUUCUGGCUUACUGGCCUCAUCUCCCCCCUAAAGUAACUCUUAGUGCCUGAAGGGCUUAGAUCCACAUUUCCCAAAUGUGGUGUGGGCAGCUCCCAGGGUAGGUGGUGGGUGCCGGGGAUGGGGAGGGGGUGCUCCAGGCAGCUCUCCCUGGAGUCUCCAGGUUGCCUAAAGAUGGCUGGGGAAGCCAUUAAGCUGUGUUUUAAUUUUUAAGCAAAUUAUGUCUCUGUUAUGGAGAAGAAUGUAAAAUUGGCCAGACUUUAAGAACAAAGCACUCAGCUCUCUGGCUAUGCGGAGCUGUGUCCACCAGGUGCCCUCCUUUGUCCGUGCAGGUAUGGGCGGGGGGGGCAGGUGGAAUUGAGCUCUGACCAGGCAGCAGGUGCUGGGGCCAGUUUCUCUGCUGGGAGCUGUUUCAGGGACACGAUGGAGACGUGUGCACCCAGGUGUGUGCGCCUGGAGGGAUCAGUCCAGAGGUUUCCUGGGCUGCCGCCCCAGGGCCUCUGGGGUACCUCCGACCUCCCCACACGACACCAGCAUUUCCCCUUUCGGGCGGGGUGAGUAACGGUGGGGGCAGAGGGUGGGACACAUGAGGAUGUUUAAGUACAGAUUUUUUUAAAAAGGAAAUCACUUUUAAACUUCCUGGCUCUUGUUCAAAAACAGUGGUGAGCUCCCGUGGGGGGUUUGCUAAAGGUCACGCCCCCGCCCAGCUGAGCGAGAGAGGCCUCGUGACAGCAUGUGACCUCUGAAGGCAGGAGCACCAAAGGCAGCUCUGGGUCUCCUUCCGGAGCUGGAGUGACUUGUGGCUCGGAAGGGGCCUGAGGGAGGGACUUAAAUUCUGACAUUGAGAUUCAAGAUUCCAGCACUGUGGGCUGGCCAGAAAUCGUCCUCUUUCUAUCUACCAAGAAAGUUUGCUAAAGCAAAUGAUUGCUCCAAACAAAAAGUGCAGGUGACCAGCUUGAUCUACUUAAGAGAACAAAAUUUCCAAGCACUUUAAACAGGCACCGAUGGUUUGCAAACGAUGGGCUGAAGUGCAAGUGAUAUGUUUGUCAGAGGAGGUCCGUGCUGCCUCAUUGGCAAUGGGUUUCUUUGGGUCCCGUUCUGUCUGUGAAAGUGGUAUGAAGCGGCAUCUUCGUAGGGUUAUUCUCUUCCUUAGGGGUUGGGGUUCUGUAUUUACUUGCUAACUGUUCUCCCCCAUUCCCUGCCACCUCCUUCUAGAGGAGGGGUAGAUGGAUCCCAAGUGGAAUUUCUUAGAACCCUUCCCUGCCCAGCCCCAGUCCCCACAGGGAUGCCUUGGGUCCUGGCCGCGCAGGGGCCGGGAGGGUGAGCCAAGCCGUGUGCGCACAGGUACACGGACAGCCUUCCUGCCUGGUCCUUGCCGGGCCCCCAGGGGGUUCUCGGUGAGCAGCAUGCUUCACGUAUUCGAGGAAGGUUUCUCUUGCCUUUAGUGUCGUGUAAGAAGUUUUUAAGUUAUAUUUAUUUUUUCCAGUUUUUUUAAUUGCACAAAACACUAAGACUGGGAGGCUGGAUUCUGUUUGUCCUUUAAAGCUGUGCCUUCUUUCUGAACUUCUUUUCCCACUUGGGGGAAAGAGCCCGGACACAGCACUGCACCCCCCCCCAGAUGGACUCUUUCCCCUGUUCGCUGUAUCUAGCUUUGAGUUUGCCUGCAUCCAGUCCACACCCUGCCCCCGUGUGUAUAUAACCCAGGCCACCAGCCUGGGAAGAGGCGGGGGAUUCACACCCCCCCCCAGCCAGUGCCUUUCUUCAACUCCCCAGAGGGUUCUCUUUCCUUCUGCACCCCUUUCUCUGCGACACCUUGGAGUAAACAACUGUUACAAACCACGCCCCCGCACAGUGCCUGCCAGACCGCGCCGUUCUGUACCUUCUGAAUAAAGGCCUGAAAGACCACA